rnacentral:piRNA from 1 species
UUUGAUUAAUUCUGAAAAUUU